rnacentral:rRNA from 1 species
GGACGAACGCUGGCGGCGUGCUUAACACAUGCAAGUCGAACGGAAAGGCCCUGCUUUUGUGGGGUGCUCGAGUGGCGAACGGGUGAGUAACACGUGAGUAACCUGCCCUUGACUUUGGGAUAACUUCAGGAAACUGGGGCUAAUACCGGAUAGGAGCUCCUGCUGCAUGGUGGGGGUUGGAAAGUUUCGGCGGUUGGGGAUGGACUCGCGGCUUAUCAGCUUGUUGGUGGGGUAGUGGCUUACCAAGGCUUUGACGGGUAGCCGGCCUGAGAGGGUGACCGGCCACAUUGGGACUGAGAUGCGGCCCAGACUCCUACGGGAGGCAGCAGUGGGGAAUAUUGCACAAUGGGCGGAAGCCUGAUGCAGCAACGCCGCGUGCGGGAUGACAGCCUUCGGGUUGUAAACCGCUUUCGCCUGUGACGAAGCGUGAGUGACGGUAAUGGGUAAAGAAGCACCGGCUAACUACGUG